rnacentral:rRNA from 1 species
AGCACGGGAGCAAUCCUGGUGGCGAGUGGCGAACGGGUGAGUAAUAUAUCGGAACGUGCCCAGUCGUGGGGGAUAACGUAGAGAAAUUUACGCUAAUACCGCAUACGAUCUAAGGAUGAAAGCGGGGGAUCGCAAGACCUCGCGCGAUUGGAGCGGCUGAUAUCAGAUUAGGUUGUUGGUGAGGUAAAAGCUCGCCAAGCCGACGAUCUGUAGCUGGUUUGAGAGAACGACCAGCCACACUGGGACUGAGACACGGCCCAGACUCCUACGGGAGGCAGCAGUGGGGAAUUUUGGACAAUGGGCGAAAGCCUGAUCCAGCAAUGCCGCGUGCAGGAAGAAGGCCUUCGGGUUGUAAACUGCUUUUGUACGGAACGAAACGGUCUGCCCUAAUACGGCGGGCUAAUGACGGUACCGUAAGAAUAAGCACCGGCUAACUACGUGCCAGCAGCCGCGGUAAUACGUAGGGUGCGAGCGUUAAUCGGAAUUACUGGGCGUAAAGCGUGCGCAGGCGGUUAUGUAAGACAGUUGUGAAAUCCCCGGGCUCAACCUGGGAAUUGCAUCUGUGACUGCAUAGCUAGAGUACGGUAGAGGGGGAUGGAAUUCCGCGUGUAGCAGUGAAAU